rnacentral:rRNA from 1 species
CCCUAAUGGGGUUAGAUAUGGAAGUUAUCUUGUCCGGCAAAAGUCAAAAUCUUUUUAUGGCAGACAUUACAUGGCACUCUCCCAUGUCGGGCAACACUCACUAAUAGACACAUGAAGGUCUCGCCCUCUUGCCCUACCUGCUCUCAGGGUGUAGAAGAUACGAAGCACAUGUUCCUAUGUACUAAAGCAAAGGAGGUUUGGAAAAGGCUAGGGAUGGAUGUGAUUAUUGAUAAAGCUUGUAAGAUUCAUCGUGUUGGAGAGGCGGCAUUGGAAUACCUAUCACUCCUUCCAGAUCAAGAUUUGCGCAUUAUGGAGUACCAAAAUGUUCGAGAAAUGAUAGCUAUCUCACUUGGUAUCUAUGGCGGGGAAGACGAAAAUUAG